CGGUAGCAGAGAUAGCUUGCUAUCUGCUGAUGAGCGGCGGACGGGUGAGUAAUGCUUGGGAAUAUGCCUUAUGGUGGGGGACAACAGUUGGAAACGACUGCUAAUACCGCAUAACGUCUACGGACCAAAGGAGGGGAUCUUCGGACCUUUCGCCAUUUGAUUAGCCCAAGUGAGAUUAGCUAGUAGGUGAGGUAAGAGCUCACCUAGGCGACGAUCUCUAGCUGGUUUGAGAGGAUGAUCAGCCACACUGGGACUGAGACACGGCCCAGACUCCUACGGGAGGCAGUAGUGGGGAAUAUUGCACAAUGGGGGAAACCCCGAUGCAGCCAUGCCGCGUGUGUGAAGAAGGCCUUCGGGUUGUAAAGCACUUUCAGUUGUGAGGAAAGGGAUGUAGUUAAUAACUGCAUUCUGUGACGUUAACAACAGAAGAAGCACCGGCUAACUUCGUGCCAGCAGCCGCGGUAAUACGAGGGGUGCAAGCGUUAAUCGGAAUUACUGGGCGUAAAGCGUUCGUGGGCGGUUAUUUAAGCAAGAUGUGAAAGCCCAGGGCUCAACCUUGGAACUGCAUUUUGAACUGGGUAACUAGAGUACUGUAGAGGGUGGUGGAAUUUCCAGUGUAGCGGUGAAAUGCGUA
rnacentral:rRNA from 1 species